ensembl:lncRNA
AAUGACAAAGCCAAAAUUCAGGCCUUGCCCAAGCUGCCAAGUCCGUCAGCAGGCCAACCGCAAAAACAUGCAGUGCUUGUUUUUGCCACACUGCCAAGCAAGCGGUUAUUAAAAACUGCAAAAAUUAAUGAUGACUGGGGCCAGAGGGUCGUCAAAAACAAAAAUGCAUCUCGGGUGGUGGCCUCUGCCCAAAUAGCUGUCCAAAAAAACUUUCUGCCUUGGGCUAUAUGCCCAUAUUAUUUAUCAGCCAGAGGCACAAGGGCACAGGCAAGUUGAUGGCAGAUGUAGUCACGCAUCUGCCACCGACGCAAAAAACAACACACGUUUCUUAACCAGCAUGAAGAGGGCAUAUGACUUCAUAAUCAAACUGGAUGGUAAGAUAAGUUUUAUGUAUAGUUCAUUAGUGGUUGUCGUUGAUUUCUUUGACAAUGUGUACUGAAUUUAUAUUUUUGCUAACUUCACAACAGAUGUGCCCCAGCCCCAGCCCCAGCAAGACCAGCCCCUCCACCUAGACCAACCCCUACCCCAAGACCAGCCCCUGCCCCUAGACCAGCUAAUCCCACAAGACCAGCCCCCAGACCAGCCUCUGCCCCCUAGACCAGCCCCAGCAAGACCAGCCCCUGCCCCUAGACCAGCUAAUCCCACAAGACCAGCCCCUAGACCAGCCCCAGAAAGACCAGCCCCUAGACCAGCCCCAGCAAGACCAGCCCCUGCCCCUAGACCAGCUAAUCCCACAAGACCAGCCUACCCCAACAGACCAGCAAAUUAUUAAACUUGAACUAUUUACGAUCGACUCACAGGCUCAGCAGCAUGUGGAGCCUCUACCACCCAGGAAAAGACAAACCCCACUAUCCACCCCGGGCCUACCAUCCACCCCAGGCCAAGGCAAACGAGCCCCACCAUCCAUCCAACCUCAACUAAAGAAAAGACAAACCACAGGUAAAGGAGCCACACAAGCCCCACCCUCUACCCUGGCCAAAAAGAAGAAAACAAAAAGUUGCAAAUGCAGUCGACAGACAAUUUAUCCAUACGAUAAAAUAUUGGAAAGACGGAUGAAUGGGGUAAGAUGUAGAACCAUAUUUUUCAUUAGGCUGUCUGAUUAUCUCUUGACUCAUGUCUGUCUCAUCUUUCAAUCCACAUGUGACAAAACAGUAACACUGAGCAGUAGGUAUCAAACUUUUUCAACUAUCAACCCUCUCACAAGUGCUACCCCUUAGGAAAAAAAAGUAUACUUCAAGUUAUUUUAUGAAGUAUACUUAAGUAAUGUUCAAGUAUAUUUUUAAGUAUACUUUAUGGAGUAAGUAUACUAGUAUCAAUGUGUACUAUUUCAAUACUGCUUGGGGCUAAAUUGGCCCACUUUUAGUAUAAAAGUAUAUGUUUAAGUGUACUAAAAGUGUAAACUUUAAGUACACAACUAGGUUUCUCAUUUUUAAUGCAUCUUUACUACAAGUGAACUUAUAAGUAUACUAGUAGUUUACUAUUUUAAUACAAGUAGUACAUUUUUUAGUUAGGAAAGUACACACUGAAGUGUACUCUCAGUAAACUGCUAGUUUAGAAGUUUAUACUGCAAGUAUACUUGUAAGUUUUCUUUAAGUGAACAUAACAUUAUACUAUUUAUAUAUUAUUUUGCACUUGCUGUAUACUACUAUGUUCAAAUGUAGAUAUUAUUUUUUAUACUUGAAAAAUACAUUUAACUGUACUUUAAUUUUAAUAACAUUUUAUUAGCUUCAUGCUUUCUUUUUUAUCAACACUUGUCGGUAAGUUUCAUAAAGGCAACAUUUUAAACAAAGAAGUUGAGAAAAUCACAUUUUUGUCAAAGACUGCGCCUUGAUCAGAUUCAGAACGGUGAUCAAAACACAGAUGGAGUAGAUCAAGUCCAACAACCCCAAAGCUUCACAGUCAUUUUCUCUUCAUGUGUUACGCUUCAUUUCAUUUGGUAAUAUUAAGCAUUUUUGAAUUACAAGCUGUUUAAUAUUUGAUGAUCACGUUAUUUUACAUUUGCGUGAGUAAUCUACUAUCACUUGGUUCAGCUUCUUCUUCUUCUGUGUUUUGAGUUUCUGUACUAGGAGAUGUGUCAUAGCGCA